UCUGAGCCUGCCCGCUGGCUGUGGGGACCUGACCUUUUCUGCACUGAGGGGAAGGAAUGGGGUAAUUAGCUUAUAUAAUCCCCGGCCUGCCUGCUGUUUGCUGUGGAUGUGGACAAACUCCAUGAAAAUGUGGACUUCUGGGCUGCUGCUGUGGGAUCCCUUCAGAGGGCUCGCCGAAGUAAUACAGGACAGUGCAUGCGCGAUUGUGCAGCCCCAGGAGCGUUCACAAACUGAACACAUCUGUGCCGCCGGCAUCCAGAUUCAGAAACAGGAAGUGACCAGCACAACCCCCUUCAUGCCCCUCCCAACCACCACCGCACAACGACCCCACCAUCCUGGCUUCUGUAGCAUUGAUCAGAUUUGUCUGUUUCUGCACUUUAUAUAAAUGGAAUCAUACAGCCUGUUCUCUUUCGUGUCUGGCCCAACAUUCUGCAGAUUUAUUUUUAUCUCUGAUCCCACCAGAGCAGUUUUCCCGAGGCUGGGAGAGAUAAGCAGGUCUCCCGGGUGGGGACCGCCGGUGGAGUGACGACCAGGUGACCCGAUGGGCACCGUGGAUGAUGGAGAUCUACCGCGGCAAACCGGUGCCUCAAGGGCCUGUCCUGGCCCUGCACUGUGUUGAAUUUCACCCGUGCAGUGGGUAAAAUAUAUUCCAAUAUGUGUAUCAGAAAUUGGGAAAAAUAUGUAAAAGAAUAAUUUCACGCACAUCACCCAGAGUUGACAACAGUCAUGUUUUUUGAGGUGAAAUUAACAUGACAUAAAAUGAACCGUUUUAAAGUGCACGAUUCAGGGUCCUUUAGCACUUUCACCAUGUUAUACAGCCAUCGCCUCUAUCUCUGCGUCUAGCUCCUGUUCGCUGCCCAGCCCCUGACAACGGUGAAUCUGCUUUCUGUUCCUAAGGGUUGAUUCCUUCUGGAUUUGUAUCAACUGGACCAUGCAAUAGGUGACCUUUUGUGUUUUCUGGCCUCUUUUCCGAGCUUAUCCACGUUGUAGCGUGUAUCACGACUUCAUUCCUUUUAGUGGCUUCCAGUCAUUUUUGCUUCGUGUCAUUUUUUUUAGAAAAAUAAAGAAAUGAAACAUUACUGGUAAACUCGAUGAGUCUGCUGUUCUAUAGGGUCACUUCUGUUCCCCAGCUUCAUCUCUGGGGGAAACAACAGUCAUG
rnacentral:lncRNA from 10 species